GAGCGGUAACAGGUCCAGCUUGCUGGAUGCUGACGAGCGGCGGACGGGUGAGUAAUGCAUAGGAAUCUGCCCGAUAGUGGGGGAUAACCUGGGGAAACCCAGGCUAAUACCGCAUACGUCCUACGGGAGAAAGGGGGCUCCGGCUCCCGCUAUGGGAUGAGCCUAUGUCGGAUUAGCUAGUUGGUGAGGUAACGGCUUACCAAGGCCACGAUCCGUAGCUGGUCUGAGAGGAUGAUCAGCCGCAUCGGGACUGAGACACGGCCCGAACUCCUACGGGAGGCAGCAGUGGGGAAUAUUGGACAAUGGGGGCAACCCUGAUCCAGCCAUGCCGCGUGUGUGAAGAAGGCUUUCGGGUUGUAAAGCACUUUCAGCGAGGAGGAAGGCCUUAAAGUUAAUACCUUUAAGGAUUGACGUUACUCGCAGAAGAAGCACCGGCUAACUCCGUGCCAGCAGCCGCGGUAAUACGGAGGGUGCGAGCGUUAAUCGGAAUUACUGGGCGUAAAGCGCGCGUAGGUGGCUUGAUAAGCCGGUUGUGAAAGCCCCGGGCUCAACCUGGGAACGGCAUCCGGAACUGUCAAGCUAGAGUGCAGGAGAGGAAGGUAGAAUUCCCGGUGUAGCGGUGAAAUGCGUAGAGAUCGGGAGGAAUACCAGUGGCGAAGGCGGCCUUCUGGACUGACACUGACACUGAGGUGCGAAAGCGUGGGUAGCAAACAGGAUUAGAUACCCUGGUAGUCCACGCCGUAAACGAUGUCGACCAGCCGUUGGGUGCCUAGCGCACUUUGUGGCGAAGUUAACGCGAUAAGUCGACCGCCUGGGGAGUACGGCCGCAAGGUUAAAACUCAAAUGAAUUGACGG
rnacentral:rRNA from 1 species